rnacentral:lncRNA from 1 species
AAUCGAUUUGACUCUCCAAGAGAUGGCUGGGUUUUUCAAAGCAGAGAAAUGAUGCCCUGCAGUCUUAAAGAGCUGUUGAUUGCACCUGGGGCUCCCGUGGCCGGCGCCCAUCGAGCAGCCCGUCCUGGCUGUUCCCUUGUUCAGCUUAUUUUCUUUUUUAUCUUGACAUUUGCUAACCGCUUGGUUUUUAUUUUCCGGGAAGAGAAGAUUAUUGGCAACUGGCACCACCCCCAUGUCUGCAGGAGGGACGUUUCUAGGAUGACCCCCAGAGUGGAGAAAUAGCCGAGGUUGCAUGGGCUUGAUCCACAAUGACUCAGCUUUCAGCCAUAGCAAUUGUGCUAUGCUCAGCUGUCAAGCGUGUUUUAAAUCUCCUACUACUUUUUUUUUUUUAAGUUUUUCUGCCAUCCUUUGUACUCCUUUUUAAAAACUUAUCCAGGAAGUGGUAUGAAAUCUCCAGUACCUCUCGGCACACACACAUGCGUCUUUUUCUGUUUAUUGUUUUCCCUCUGAGAGUUGUAGUGUUCAGUUGGUUACAUCAAGAGAAGUACUUGGCUGGGACUGUUAAAAAAAAAGUGUCACAAAGC